UAUGAUCUGCUUUUCUCCUGCCCACUC
rnacentral:piRNA from 1 species